GCGCUCGCUUCGGCAGCACAUAUACUAGAAUUGGAACGAUACAGAGAAGAUUAGCGUGGCCCCUGUGCAAGGAUGACACGCAAAUUCCUGAAGCGUUCCAUAUUUUU
rnacentral:snRNA from 1 species